UCCCGGGUAAUUUAAGCAUAUUAAUAAGCGGAGGAAAAGAAACUAACUAGGAUUCCCUCAGUAGCUGCGAGCGAACAGGGACGAGCCCAGCACUGAAUCCUGCGUGCCGUGCGCACGUUUGGAAAUGUAGUGUUUGGGAGGAUCCGAUCAUCUCGCGCGAGCGCUCCAGUCCAAGUCCAUCUUGAAAGCGGCCACAGCCCACAGAGGGUGCCAGGCCCGUAGGACGGUGCGGUGUCUCGCGCGAAAGGAUCUCUCNNNNNNNNNNNNNNNNNNNNNNNNNNNNNNNNNNNNNNNNNNNNNNNNNNCGCGACCCGUUGGGUGCGCGUCCAAGGCCCGCGCGUGAAGCCGACCUCGGCCGCGGGCGUCGUCACUCGUGGCGUCGCCCGCGCGCCGUAUCGACCGCGCGGUGUCCCGACGCGCUUCGCCCGACGGUAAACACGGACGACGCGAAAAGAAGCCGCCGCCUCGCAAGGGGUGGCGGCCGGUCCUCGAUUGGACACGCGUCGCGUCUGCGGCGCUCUAUCUAGAGCAUCAUCCGACCCGUCUUGAAACACGGACCAAGGAGUCUAACAUGUGCGCGAGUCAUUGGGACCGCACUAAACCCAGAGGCGGAAUGAAAGUGAAUGUCGGCCGCCUCGGCGGUCGGCAGAGGGGAGAUGGCGGCCGUCCUAGCGCCGUGCCGCCCGCAUCCCCGGGGCGUCUCGUUGUCAUUGCGACACAGCAGGCGCACCCAGAGCGUACACGUUGGGACCCGAAAGAUGGUGAACUAUGCCUGGCCAGGUCGAAGUCAGGGGAAACCUGGCACUCGGAGUUUUGACGAAACAGAGCGUCGGUCGUCGUCCCGCAAGGGGCGGCGCGCCGGUCGCGACCACCAGUCUCAUCUGGUAAAGCGAAUGAUUAGAGGCCUUGGGGCCGAAACGACCUCAACCUAUUCUCAAACUUUAAAUGGGUGAGACGUUCGACUUGCUUAAAAACCAUGUUGAAGUCGAGAUGCCCGGAUGAACGAGCGCCAAGUGGGCCAAUUUUGGUAAGCAGAACUGGUGCUGUGGGAUGAACCAAACGUGCGAGUUAAGGCGCCUAAAUCGAUGCUCAUGGGAUACCAUGAAAGGCGUUGGUUGCUUAAGACAGCAGGACGGUGGCGAUGUUGAUGUGCUGUCGUAAAUAACAAACUAAAAAUACAGUUCCUGUUUGACCACAUCGGGCGAAAGGGAAUCCGGUUCCUAUUCCGGAACCCGGCUGCGGAACCGACUUGCGGGCCACGCUGCAGCGAUGCAGUCGACUCGUCGGGGUAACCCAACAGGACCCGGAGACGCCGUCGGAUGAUCGAGGCAGAGUUUUCUGUUCUGUAUGAGCGUUCGAGUUCCCUGGAAUCGCCUAGCGCGGAGAUAGGGUUUGGAACGCGAAGAGCACCGCACUUGCGGCGGUGUCUCGAUCGAUCCCUCGGACCUUGAAAAUCCGGGAGAGGGCCACGUGGAGGUGUCGCGCCGGUUCGUACCCAUAUCCGCAGCAGGUCUCCAAGGU
rnacentral:rRNA from 1 species